AAAAAGGCCCUUUUAUCCCAAAUAUACUCUUGUACCUGUACGUUGAAGACUUUUUAAUUUUUGGCUGAUCAUAUGAAUAUUCUUUCACAGACCUUUUCACCAUUGCUUAUGCUUCCUAUGAAUACAUCAUGUCAUCAUUGAUAUAAGAAAAGGGUGGAAUUUGCAAGCUCAGUUGAUUAUAGAGCAACCAAAACAAAGAUUUAGAAUUAUGAAAAUUGGGAAUGCAGCAGGAAAUAUCUUUGUUAAUACAUCAAAAGCAUCGGAAAUAGUGGGCAGAUUAGUUGUAUGUUAAUAUUUUAAGCAAUUAUCGAUACGAAUGUGUGCAAUGAGUAAAAAUUGAGAAAUUUAAAGUCAAA